UUUCUCUCUCCAUGAACACAGACACGAAUUCUCUCUAGUUUCUCCAGGGGGUGAUAACAGCAAGGCUCCUUCCCUCUGGAAACAUAUACAAUUUUGCUGGAGUAAUAAAAACACUGAAGAGGAGAGCCAGCAGCAGACGCAGGACUGACUUUGAUUUUAUUUUCUUACCUCUGUGGAAAGCGAAGCAGUAAAAUCUUUCAAGAGCCCUGUAUCUGGGUAUCCUGCUGCUGCCUUCAGCCCCAUCUCCUGAGCAGUCGGAGUGUGGCUUCACAGUCUUUUCAAGUUGUUCAGAAUCAGUUUCCAGUGUGCAAAUGCUAUUUAGAAGCAUGAAGACAGCUCUGAGAAAAGAAACAGUUUUGCAUCAACAUGGGACACAGCUCAUAUUCUCUUUUACAUCAGCAAUGGCCACAUGAACAGAACAUGUGGAAAAACAAGAACCAAAGAAGUAGAAAAGGAGCCACGAUGAUGUCAUUGCUAAUCCAUCAGCAAAGUAGAAGACAAGCACAGGGAGAGGACACAGGUCAUAAACAGCACCAGGGGCAACUUCUGGAGACUUUUUGCAUGCUGAGAAUAAACAGUAACCAGAUAGUUGAGGCUCUUGCUGUGCAGCUGUCCCUUUGUCUGGGAAUGGAUGUGGGAACAAAGAUCACUAAAUGCCCCGACACCCGCUUAAGAAGCAUAUUUUGCGUAGAUGGAUAUUAGCAAUUCAAAAGCUAAAUUGAGAUCUAAACAAGGUCAUUUGCUUGUCAGACUAUUUUUGACAUAGGCAGUGUUUAAUUCAAGAAGCAGAAGGGCUGGGAUAAACAAAUGCAACCCUAAAUGGGCAGCUGGCUGCAGAGUGGUUUUGAAGCAGAUUCAUCCCAAAGGGCAGCCUGCUUGUACCCUCACCCAGAACAGAAAGGCAGAGGCCAGCCCUUUCCAUGAUGUUUUAGUAGUGGGGAACUCAAACCAUUUCUGUUCCACUAGCAAGGAAAGAAAAAAGGAAAGGCAAAUACAAGAGAUGUUAAUUUAAAAUACAAUAUGCAUAUAUGUGUAUGCAAAUUAGAUGAGAUCCUCGGUGUGUCCGAGUUAAAGCAAUGUUUUAUAAACUGUAAUCUGCUUUUUGUAGAAUUCCUUAAUUCCAGUGAGUAUUACAAAAUAUAUGUGGCGUGAAUAAAACCUGAGCUUCCUUAUA